AAAGAGACGGCAUGUUCUAGUGGAGACUAACAGGACUGUGAGUUAUUUCAGCCUGCAGAUUGAAGGACACACACCUUAGUUAGCAGAUGUCUGCCACAGAGACUGAUAUACUCAGUAAACACAGCUCAGCUCCUUUACUUGGGUACUAGAGAUGGUAACCACAAAUGAUGGAAUGCUUGUGGGAAGGCUGCUUAGAGAAUAUAGAGGUCAGUGACAUUCAUUGUGUC
rnacentral:lncRNA from 1 species